ACUCAUUAAUUAUGUCUUUGACGCCUGUCAAAAGUUUUUCGCCGUGUAAAACCUCUAACAUUGUUGGAGUAGACAUAUUCCAACGGUAUACUGUGGAGAUCAUGUCAUUAGAAAUAACUGUCGGUUUUGCAUCUGCUAGUACCCAUGUAACCCUCUUUUUGAGUUGGUUUUUGUUCAGGUACAUGUGACUUGUCUGUUGUUUGUAAAGCUAAACAUUUCUUUUUAUAAUGAUACACCAUUGAAUAAGCUGUUAUAUCAUUGCAUUUGUCAAUCAUGUUCAAUAUUGAAUACAUCUGGGGGUUUUGUGUGUCGGUCAUUACUAAAGACUUAACUUAAGAUAUGGGCACAAGAAAUUGCAAUAUAAAUGUAGUGUAGAUCAGAGAGUUUGAAACCAAGACUGCCUGAGAUAUCAUAACAACUCCUCAACAGAAGGAAAUAAUAGUUUUAGUACAUUAAAUUGUUUUACACAUUUUCAAUGAGAUAUGGGGAAAUAAGUGCCAUACUGCCUGUGCACUUCCCUGUUUAGCCCGUCGUCAGAUUAAUGACGGGUCAGGGUGUCAUAAUAAUGUGUCCAAGUUACGACAUUUCAGUGAGAUUACACUUCAAAGUGGACAUCGUCUUCAUAUGGCAUCAAAUGUUACGAGGACGCAAAAGAAUGAACAUCUCAUAACAUCUCAUAUCAGUUUUGUCAUCGUAUGUUUAAAACAUGAAAGUUGUAAGAGUACAAUGUGGAAAUCUUGUGUUUAAUUUUGCAAAAUAGUGAUGUUUUAUUGUAUUGAAAUUACAUACCAAUGGACAUUUUUACUAAUUUAAUAUCUUGUGUUUAUCUAAUUAUGCAAAAUAUUGAUGUACAAAUGUAUUAUUUCUAACAUCAUUUUUUACUCCAUUAUGUAUAAUCUUAACUUUCCUCAAGUUCAGUAGGUUGUUCCGCUGUUUAUUCUGUCAAAGUUCAAAGUUGUUUAUGGUGGAUUUCUACAAUCUGAUUGGCUGGUAGUUUCUUCACCAUAACAUCAGUUCCCAACCUCAUCUUUACCCAGCUUUCUAAUGUAAUAAUAACAAGAGUGCUUUAUUUAUAGACGAUAACUCUUUUUUUUUUAAGUUUCAGAGUUUUGUGUCUUGAGGCAUAUAUAUAAAUAUAUUGUAUGCUCAAGAUAUUUUAAUAUUUAUCAAUGAAGUUUUCAUUAGUAUCCAUAGGUUAUAGGUCAUGAAAAAUCAUGAUACUUGUAUAUAUAGCAUGCAAUUGAAAAAAAUGAACAGUAAUAUGAACAGAGUAGAUCACAAUCUGCUGCUUUUAUACUAUACAGAUAUAAUAUUAAAUUAACAUGAACUUCUAGAAAGUAAUGUCUGUAAUAUUUUGAUUUGGAGAUCUAGGGUGCCUUACAUUUUAGUUGCUUUCAUGGAUCAUUUAUUUGUUUGAUUUUGCCUGUUGUAUGUCUACUAUUCUUUUCAAGAAUUCUGCUCAAUGAUAUUUGCAUUGCUAUAUUUUGAGAGGUGAAAAACAAAUUAUAUGGCAAUUUUCAUUUUAUCUUUUUUGGAAAUCCACAACUAUAUUAUCAGCAACAUGUACACAGAAAAAAGUGAUGCAUUCCAUUCUCUUUGCCAUCGGCCUAUGGUUACAUUUCAAUUUAAUGUACAGGUAAUGUUUUUCACUUUGAUUUACAAGUUGUAAUUUUCAAUGUUUUCAUAUCAAAGGAACCUUGAUUAUACAUGUACUUCGAAACAGUGAGAAAUUUGUCUCAUAAAAGUUUGAUACAUGAAUAGAAUAUUAUUAGUGUUAUGUAAGGGGAAAUUCAGGAUUUUGCCUAAGUAAGUUCGACACAUCGAGAAAUUUGAAUCAACACUGUUAUCUAGGUACAUGUAGAUAUAUGAAAAGAACUCGUCUCCCAACCAUCCCCUAUCGUCACUUCUAAUCAGUCACAAAACUCUUGACCAAGACCUUGGGAAUAUCUACUGGUACUUCCCAAUCUAUUGGUGGACCCCACUAGCAAUGAAAUGUCAGUGCUAAUUAUCUCCCCUGUUCAAAGAACGUAGCUUUAGUUUGACCCCAGCUUUAUUGUAGAACAGGUUUUAGAGGUAAGAUAUGUGAAGACUUGCCAUUUAUUAUAAAUGUAUCUGCUAACAUGUUGAAAUUUAACAUGAUAGUUCAUUUGAAAAUUAAUUGACAAACUUGCCUACUCUUCCUAUUUUGAAGGGAGACUCCUGAUUUUGAACUUUAAAGUUGAGUAUUUUUUUAACGGCUGUGAAAAUGUAAUUGGAAAAUACGUUGUACUUAAAGUUUUAGUGCUGCCUUUUUAGUGACCUAAACUAACAGUGAGAUUUUUGGGGCAAGAUUUUAGAAGGUUUGUCAUUGGUCCAGUAUUAAUGUGCUAGUAUACUAAUUUUUAACAUAAAGGUACAUGGGGGUGGGGAGUGGGGGUGGGGCAGGGUUAACAUGAAAUGGUGUUAGUGAUUAUGAUAAAAGAGUUAUUGUACAAACGCAUUGAUGGUAGCUUUGCCACAUUCUCUGUUUUUAUGUUUACGGGAAUAUAGAGCGUUGUGAUUAGGUGGAAGAGUGAGAAAACACUCUAUCCCACUGUAUAUAGUUUACAGAUACUUGGCAUUACAUGUAAUUGCAAAAUAUUGGUUCAACCAAUUCCCAUAGUUAUAAAACCAUUUUAAUGAAAAGGCCAAGUUGAUGAGGAAGAAAAUAAAUAAACUAUGUAAAUUUCUAAUCUGUCCGAAUAAAAAUGAAUUUUAUGAAUAUGAACUCAGAUUUUAUCAUUUUUGUCUUGUCCUGAUAAAGUUGUGGAAGCGAUACUAAGGUGUUGCUUUUCUUGCAACGGUGUUGGCAUCAACAACAAGUUUUUGCAUUUAACUCAGUUUCACUGAAAGUAUAAGUGGUAGACCAACUAAACUUGGAACAUGCAUCUUAUAGGUAGUACAUCUCAAGCCAUGCUAUGCGGCCUAACUUUCAUGGUCCAUCGCCUUCGUCAGCAUCUCCAUCAACAUUUAGGUUUUGCGUUUAAGGUAUUUUCUCUGAAACGAAGUGCUACACCAACCAAACUUAUUAUCAUUUCAAAUGUCGUCUACAUUAAAUUUAUUUCGCCGAUGCACAGGCGGAACAUAUCAAUCCGAAUGGCUUGUUUCCUAGAAAGACUUGGCAGGGUGAUAACAUGAUGCAGGGAUUUUGUAAAUAGGCGAAAUAUCUUUCCAGUUAAACUUCUAGUUGGACUCAUUUGCUUAUUGCUUAUAUAUUGCUUAGCUUUGUAGGUUAACAAUGGAAUUGAUGCUGUCAUCAACAUAACAUUACUAUCACAAUCAUAAUUUCUGUUUCGACUAUUAAAGACCUUCCAUUUAGUAGUGUUUUGUUCUUUACAGUAUUCUGAAUAUGGAAAAAUGGAAAAAUAAUGCUUGAAUCUGCUUUGCUUUAAAUUCAUGCCAUGAUAAAUUGAGUUAUUGAGAAAACUGCAGCUCAUUAUUUACUGUUAUUCCAAGACUUGGCUUAAUUUGUGAUCUCACGAACUGACUGAAAUAACAUUCAACCCUGUUUACAAUAUUUUGAUAGUAUUCACGUUGUGAAGGUAACAUUCAUAAUGCCUCUGUAUAUAUUUUCAGAUGAAGUAAUGCAUAUUUAUUGUGAUACACAUUUAUACAAUGUAAAUAAAAACAAACAUUAAAUAUUUAA